AAGUGGGCAGGGACUUGUAGGCGUGGCUUGGCUUAAGAAAUGUGGGGAGUGUAGAAGCUCAAUGAAGUACAUCAAGAUCAGAAGCAACACUGAACACCUCCUCCUGCUAAACCAGGACCAGAGAAAAGAAAGGCCACUCCAACUAAAUUCGUAGUUUCUCCUUGCCACCCGCUCCCCUGCGCCGAUAUUUUAAUUAUUUGAUUAAAAUAUUAAAAAUAAUACAUAAUAACG